rnacentral:rRNA from 1 species
CUAGCGGGAUGCUUUACACAUGCAAGUCGAACGGCAGCGCGAGAGAGCUUGCUCUCUUGGCGGCGAGUGGCGGACGGGUGAGUAAUAUAUCGGAACGUGCCCAGUAGCGGGGGAUAACUACUCGAAAGAGUGGCUAAUACCGCAUACGCCCUACGGGGGAAAGGGGGGGAUCGCAAGACCUCUCACUAUUGGAGCGGCCGAUAUCGGAUUAGCUAGUUGGUGGGGUAAAGGCUCACCAAGGCAACGAUCCGUAGCUGGUUUGAGAGGACGACCAGCCACACUGGGACUGAGACACGGCCCAGACUCCUACGGGAGGCAGCAGUGGGGAAUUUUGGACAAUGGGGGAAACCCUGAUCCAGCCAUCCCGCGUGUAUGAUGAAGGCCUUCGGGUUGUAAAGUACUUUUGGCAGAGAAGAAAAGGUAUCCCCUAAUACGGGAUACUGCUGACGGUAUCUGCAGAAUAAGCACCGGCUAACUACGUGCCAGCAGCCGCGGUAAUACGUAGGGUGCAAGCGUUAAUCGGAAUUACUGGGCGUAAAGCGUGUGUAGGCGGUUCGGAAAGAAAGAUGUGAAAUCCCAGGGCUCAACCUUGGAACUGCAUUUUUAACUGCCGAGCUAGAGUAUGUCAGAGGGGGGUAGAAUUCCACGUGUAGCAGUGAAAUGCGUAGAUAUGUGGAGGAAUACCGAUGGCGAAGGCAGCCCCCUGGGAUAAUACUGACGCUCAGACACGAAAGCGUGGGGAGCAAACAGGAUUAGAUACCCUGGUAGUCCACGCCCUAAACGAUGUCAACUAGCUGUUGGGGCCGUUAGGCCUUAGUAGCGCAGCUAACGCGUGAAGUUGACCGCCUGGGGAGUACGGUCGCAAGAUUAAAACUCAAAGGAAUUGACGGGGACCCGCACAAGCGGUGGAUGAUGUGGAUUAAUUCGAUGCAACGCGAAAAACCUUACCUACCCUUGACAUGNUCUGGAAAGCCGAAGAGAUUUGGCCGUCCUCCCCAAGAGAACCGGAACACAGGUGCUGCAUGGCCGUCGUCAGCUCGUGUCGUGAGAUGUUGGGUUAAGUCCCGCAACGAGCGCAACCCUUGUCAUUAGUUGCUACGCAAGAGCACUCUAAUGAGACUGCCGGUGACAAACCGGAGGAAGGUGGGGAUGACGUCAAGUCCUCAUGGCCCUUAUGGGUAGGGCUUCACACGUCAUACAAUGGUCGGGACAGAGGGUCGCCAACCCGCGAGGGGGAGCCAAUCUCAGAAACCCGAUCGUAGUCCGGAUCGCAGUCUGCAACUCGACUGCGUGAAGUCGGAAUCGCUAGUAAUCGCGGAUCAGAAUGUCGCGGUGAAUACGUUCCCGGGUCUUGUACACACCGCCCGUCACACCAUGGGAGUGGGUUUCACCAGAAGUAGGUAGCCUAACCGUAAGGAGGGCGCUUACCACGGUGGGAUUCAUGACUGGGGUGAAGUCGUAACAAGGUAGCCGUAUCGGAAGGUGC